GGGGCGGUCGCCAAGUUGGUUAAGGCUCGGUGCUCAUAACACCGUCAUGCGUGGGUUCGAGUCCCACCCGCCCUA
rnacentral:tRNA from 1 species